rnacentral:rRNA from 1 species
GAUGAACGCUAGCGGCAGGCCUAACACAUGCAAGUCGAGGGGUAACUUGAUUGAUAGCAAUAUUAAUUAAGCUAGACCGGCGCACGGGUGCGUAACACGUAUGCAAUCUACCUUAUACAGGGGCAUAACUUCGAGAAAUCGAUGCUAAUUCCCCAUACCACUGUGAAGUGGCAUCACUUUAUAGUUAAAGCUCAGGCGGUAUAAGAUGAGCAUGCGUCCAAUUAGCUAGUAGGCGAGGUAACGGCUCACCUAGGCUACGAUUGGUAGGGGUUCUGAGAGGAUGAUCCCCCACACUGGUACUGAGACACGGACCAGACUCCUACGGGAGGCAGCAGUGAGGAAUAUUGCGCAAUGGACGAAAGUCUGACGCAGCCAUGCCGCGUGAAGGAUUGAAGGCCCUAUGGGUUGUAAACUUCUUUUGUACGGGAAUAAACGCUCCCUCGUGAGGGAGCCUGAAGGUACCGUAAGAAUAAGCACCGGCUAACUCCGUGCCAGCCGCCGCAGUAAAAC